CCUCCAACAGUUUGGAUCUCCCUACCUCCCAGAGGACUGUUUGUACCUGGAUCCCCUUGAGGGAAACUGCAAAUGAAAGGGACAAAAUGAGUGCCCUACACCCCAUGUAGGAGACAAUUUGGAUUUGUGGAAGUAAAUUUUGUGCUAAUGUGUUGCCUUUACAUAAAGUCAUCUGUACCUGCUGGAGGACCAUUAAGUUUAUCUGAGGAUACACUUUGCUACUUUCUCUGAAAUGGGACUACUAAUUGACAUAUUGUCAGAUAAGUGAAACAAUGUUUUGUAUUUUGUUACUUUGGUGCAGCCCCACUAGAGGGUGCUAUGAUAAUACUGUAUAAAAAGGAGAAUCUGUAUAAUGAUAUGCUGGCUUGACAAAGAGCCGUGCGAGGCUAGAAACGUUGCUAUGCUGCCCUGCUGUGUGUAAAUAAAGGCAAUUUUUACUUUA